AAGGGCUCAAUGGGCACUGGAAAGACCAAUGUGCUAUUGAUUUAUCUGUCCUCUGCAUGAACUCUGGUUAAAACAAAACAAAACAAAAAGUAUUUCCCAAAUUUUGGAUGAAAGACCUUAUGUACAAAUAAAGGCAGGAUGCAUGCUCUCUGGGAUGAUGUUGACUACAGAAAUAAGCAGUUCUUCAGUGCAGCGUGUGGUUUUCUAAUUUCCAGUAAAAUUGAAUGAAUCACACAUGACAGGACCGUUGCCACUAACCAGUGUGGCAUGGCAUCUGAGAAAGAUAGCACUGGAAGGGUGUGAACUGGAGAGCAGAUGAUGGGGUUUGAAACAUCUUGUUUGCUUUGGCAGGAUAACCAAAAUCUUGAUGCUUUCCCACAAUCUGCUCUAAAGAUGUAGGUUUUGCUCUGCUGUAUCAGAUUAUCACUCUGGGAAUUUGUGUGUCCUGCCUCUGCCAGUGGACAGCCCUUGAUGCUUCAGAUAAAGAUAAAUGCCCAGACUCCCCACAGGGGAAUUCCAAAGUUAGAUGAUGUUUCUUCAAGUGAGGUUUACAUUACUGCAGAAUUACCAGGGGAGGUUUUCUCUCUCCCAUACCAAAUCAUAAAGGAUACAUCUACUCAGUCAGGCAAACAAAGGUCCAAGGCUGCUCAGGUUCAGGCUCACAUACCAUACAUACUAUUUAUAUGUAAGUACAUGCUCUGGUAUGAGCCUUAGGUCAAGUGCACUCCAGAGGGAUGUCCUAGCACUGGCCACAUCCUAGCCCAGCCCCAAGCUUUGUCACCCCAGAGGUGGGACCAGGCUGGAACUGGGUGCGUUGCAGUUCCCUGUUUCCUGAGCACCCCAUGAGCCAUGUGAACCCCAGUCGGGUGAGAACCAGCACUGUGGCAUAUGGGCUGUGGCCUCUGACCA
rnacentral:lncRNA from 1 species